UACGAAGGGGGCUAGCGUUGUUCGGUAAUUACUGGGCGUAAAGGGCGCGUAGGCGGCGUGUCAAGUCAGGCGUGAAAGCCCCGGGCUCAACCUGGGAACCGCGCUUGAGACUGGCAUGCUCGAGUUCGGGAGAGGAUGGUGGAAUUCCCAGUGUAGAGGUGAAAUUCGUAGAUAUUGGGAAGAACACCGAUGGCGAAGGCAGCCAUCUGGACCGACACUGACGCUGAGGCGCGAAAGCGUGGGGAGCAAACAGG
rnacentral:rRNA from 1 species